rnacentral:lncRNA from 1 species
AAAUCCUAAUCAAAUUAGGCCAAUGAUAAUUUGAUCAAUCUAAAUUAAAACUAACUUCUAAUCAAAUUAGAACUAUGAAUUUGAUUGAAUCUAUAAUCAUUAAUUCUAAUCAUAUGAGACCAAUGAAUUAUAAUUAAACAAAUUCAUCAACAAAAAUCCUAAACUAUAUCUGAUGCAUCCUUUUCAUGAUCAAAAUUUUUUGACUCCACACAUACCUAGGACAACAAUCAAGAUGGAAGACCCACAAUGGUGAGUGCCCCAUAACAUAGUGGUCAGCUCUUGGAUCUUAGGUGAAUGCAUCAAACACAAAAAUCUUAAGUCUUGGUAAUAUACAUCCAAUGCAUCAUUCCAAGGCUUCGCGCAUCACAUGCACUGGAUUUAUAAUUUCAUCGAAAAUUAGAACAAGAGAUCUAACUUAAACUUAUCUCACAAGUCUAAAGAUCAUAGAAUUUCAUAUCCAAGAUUUGAUCAUGAAUUGAUAAUAUUUUAUCAUUAACAAAAUGCAUCAAGAUCAUCAAAUAAACAUCAAUCAA